UACGGAGGAUCCGAGCGUUAUCCGGAUUUAUUGGGUUUAAAGGGAGCGUAGGUGGAUUGUUAAGUCAGUUGUGAAAGUUUGCGGCUCAACCGUAAAAUUGCAGUUGAAACUGGCAGUCUUGAGUACAGUAGAGGUGGGCGGAAUUCGUGGUGUAGCGGUGAAAUGCUUAGAUAUCACGAAGAACUCCGAUUGCGAAGGCAGCUCACUAGACUGUCACUGACACUGAUGCUCGAAAGUGUGGGUAUCAAACAGGAUUAGAUACCCUGGUAGUCCACACAGUAAACGAUGAAUACUCGCUGUUUGCGAUAUACAGUAAGCGGCCAAGCGAAAGCAUUAAGUAUUCCACCUGGGGAGUACGCCGGCAACGGUGAAACUCAAAGGAAUUGACGGGGGCCCGCACAAGCGGAGGAACAUGUGGUUUAAUUCGAUGAUACGCGAGGAACCUUACCCGGGCUUAAAUUGCAACAGAAUAUAUUGGAAACAGUAUAGCCGUAAGGCUGUUGUGAGGGUGCUGCAUGGUUGUCGUCAGCUCGUGCCGUGAGGUGUCGGCUUAAGUGCCAUAACGAGCGCAACCCUUAUCUUUAGUUACUAACAGGUUAUGCUGAGGACUCUAGAGAGACUGCCGUCGUAAGAUGUGAGGAAGGUGGGGAUGACGUCAAAUCAGCACGGCCCUUACGUCCGGGACUACACACGUGUUACAAUGGGGGGUACAGAAGGCGGCUACCUGGUGACAGGAUGCUAAUCCCAAAAACCUCUCUCAGUUCGGAUCGAAGUCUGCAACCCGACUUCGUGAAGCUGGAUUCGCUAGUAAUCGCGCAUCAGCCAUGGCGCGGUGAAUACGUUCCCGGGCCU
rnacentral:rRNA from 1 species